GACGAACGCUGGCGGCGUGCCUAAUACAUGCAAGUAGAACGCUGAAGGAGGAGCUUGCUCUUCUGGAUGAGUUGCGAACGAGUGAGUAACGCGUAGGUAACCUGCCUGGUAGCGGGGGAUAACUAUUGGAAACGAUAGCUAAUACCGCAUAACAGUAGAUGUUGCAUGACAUUUGCUUAAAAGGUGCACUUGCAUCACUACCAGAUGGACCUGCGUUGUAUUAGCUAGUUGGUGGGGUAACGGCUCACCAAGGCGACGAUACAUAGCCGACCUGAGAGGGGGAUCGGCCACACUGGGACUGAGACACGGCCCAGACUCCUACGGGAGGCAGCAGUAGGGAAUCUUCGGCAAUGGACGGAAGUCUGACCGGGCAACGCCGCGUGAGUGAAGAAGGGUUUCGGAUCGUAAAGCUCUGUUGUAAGAGAAGAACGAGUGUGAGAGUGGAAAGUUCACACUGUGACGGUAUCUUACCAGAAAGGGACGGCUAACUACGUG
rnacentral:rRNA from 1 species